GCCUCGGCCUCCCAAAGUGCUGGGGCCUAGCUAAUUUUUUAACUCCUGGACUCAAGCAGUUCUCCUGCCUCAGCCUCCCAAAGUGCUGGGAUUGGAGGUGGGAGCCACCAUGCCUGUUAGAAAGGUUUUUUUUCUAACUCACUUAGAAACUGGAACUUAGGGUUAGACCCUCUGUUCCUUGUUAGAGUUACUAUUUCUUUAAAUAGUAGAUAACUUUUCUCUGGUUUUCAUUGAAAUCAGAAACACUUUGUUUAACCGUGGUUCAGUGCGACUUUCAGAUGACCCUUGAAGCAACUGAGUGACAGUGGGGAAGCAGCCUGUAGUUGAAUGGAU
rnacentral:lncRNA from 1 species